CACAAAAAAUGAGUUUUGUUUAGCUACAUUAAGAUAAGAAACACGAAAUAUGAAAUACUCGUCGUGGAAUAUUGUACAACUAGACAACAAAUAGUUAUCAGAAAAAUGUCUUUAAGUUUUGGCAGGAAAACACAUUUGUAUAACAUCUGUAACGGAUGAUUACAAUAAAUACUGCGUUCUUACAUUUAGUGUUAUGAUAAAUGUGUGACUAGGAGAAUUGGGCAUUUUUAAUUGUAUUUUGUUUUCGUUGCAAAAUUAUUUUAAUGAAUCUUCUAUUUAUUGAGGUAAAGAUGACUUGUUUUUCCUUCGUAGCAAUCAUUGUGUUUUGAAUGUCAUUAAAGUGCAUAUACAAAAACUGAUACUUAAAAUGAUUAGCUGCAAUAAUCUUUAAAAUACUGUGCUGAGUUAAAACGUGUUUUGUUUUGUUUUUUCCUGCAGGUGAAGUUUCUUUAAGCAAAGUUCCAGAGCAGUUUUUGCCUGAAGAACAGAGGGCAGCUCUACGAGGGAGUACAACGGAGACUAAAGUCCUUUGGAAGAGCCAUUUUUCCUGGACCUGCUGCAUAAGCCUGACUGGUUGUUGAGGAGAGGAGCCGUGAUUCCUGCCUGGAGUGUCGGGCUGAUGAGCUGCAAA
rnacentral:lncRNA from 1 species